UGAAUUUAUAAAGGAAGCCCAGCCAGGGAAAAAGCAGCUCCUGCUCAGCGCCGCAGUGUCUGCAGGGAAGGUCACCAUUGACAGCAGCUAUGACAUUGCCGAGAUAUCCCAACACCUGGAUUUCAUCAGCAUCAUGACCUACGAUUUUCAUGGAGCCUGGCGAGGGACCACAGGCCAUCACAGUCCCCUGUUCCGAGGCCAGGAGGAUGCAAGUCCUGACAGAUUCAGCAACACUGACUAUGCUGUGGGGUACAUGUUGAGGCUGGAGGCUCCUGCCAGUAAGCUGGUGAUGGGCAUCCCCACCUUCGGGAGGAGCUUCACUCUGGCUUCUUCUGAGACUGGUGUUGGAGCCCCAAUCUCAGGACCAGGAAUUCCAGGCCGGUUCACCAAGGAGGCAGGGACCCUUGCCUACUAUGAGGUAAUGAAGUUAGGGGAGAAGGUAGGAUUCCCCCACACCACCAGCAGCCCUGGGGAAGAUGAUUCCCCACCACAUUCUUGCUUUUUCUCCUUUGGGAAUAAAGAAAAUGUCCGGUUGCCCCAGCAUGCCUGAGGAAGUGGAAGGGAGAGGUUAGGACAUUUGUUGCUGAAAGUCUCCAGCAGGUACAGGCACAUGGGCCUGCACCACUAGGCCCCUGGGAUAUCCCUCUGGCUAUGGGGCUGAGGUCUUCCUUCCAGCCCAGGAAAGAGCAGAGGUCAAGAGGCAGAUUUUUUGUUUCACUCUAGCCUCUGCUACUCUGUGUGGCCUUGGGCCUGUCCUCAGUGUCAACCAGCAGGCCUCACAUCUCUGUUUAAAUGGAAGAAGCUAAAGAGGGCCAAGGCAGCCACCAUCUCUGGGACAUUUGCAUCUGUUUUAUGCGGCCUGCAGACCCUGG
rnacentral:sRNA from 1 species